rnacentral:rRNA from 1 species
AGAUUGAACGCUGGCGGCAUGCCUUACACAUGCAAGUCGAACGGCAGCACGGGAGCAAUCCUGGUGGCGAGUGGCGAACGGGUGAGUAAUACAUCGGAACGUGCCCAAUCGUGGGGGAUAACGCAGCGAAAGCUGUGCUAAUACCGCAUAAGAUCUACGGAUGAAAGCAGGGGAUCGCAAGACCUUGCGCGAAUGGAGCGGCCGAUGGCAGAUUAGGUAGUUGGUGAGGUAAAGGCUCACCAAGCCUUCGAUCUGUAGCUGGUCUGAGAGGACGACCAGCCACACUGGGACUGACGACACGGCCAGACUCCUACGGGAGCAGCAGUGGGAAUUUUGGACAAGUGGCGAAAGCCUGAUCCAGCCAUGCGCGUGCAGGA